rnacentral:rRNA from 8 species
GGUUAAGCGACUAAGCGUACACGGUGGAUGCCCUGGCAGUCAGAGGCGAUGAAGGACGUGCUAAUCUGCGAUAAGCGUCGGUAAGGUGAUAUGAACCGUUAUAACCGGCGAUUUCCGAAUGGGGAAACCCAGUGUGAUUCGUCACACUAUCAUUAACUGAAUCCAUAGGUUAAUGAGGCGAACCGGGGGAACUGAAACAUCUAAGUACCCCGAGGAAAAGAAAUCAACCGAGAUUCCCCCAGUAGCGGCGAGCGAACGGGGAGGAGCCCAGAGCCUGAAUCAGUGUGUGUGUUAGUGGAAGCGUCUGGAAAGGCGCGCGAUACAGGGUGACAGCCCCGUACACAAAAAUGCACAUACUGUGAGCUCGAUGAGUAGGGCGGGACACGUGGUAUCCUGUCUGAAUAUGGGGGGACCAUCCUCCAAGGCUAAAUACUCCUGACUGACCGAUAGUGAACCAGUACCGUGAGGGAAAGGCGAAAAGAACCCCGGCGAGGGGAGUGAAAAAGAACCUGAAACCGUGUACGUACAAGCAGUGGGAGCACAGAGCAAUCUGUGUGACUGCGUACCUUUUGUAUAAUGGGUCAGCGACUUAUAUUCUGUAGCAAGGUUAACCGAAUAGGGGAGCCGAAGGGAAACCGAGUCUUAACCGGGCGUUAAGUUGCAGGGUAUAGACCCGAAACCCGGUGAUCUAGCCAUGGGCAGGUUGAAGGUUGGGUAACACUAACUGGAGGACCGAACCGACUAAUGUUGAAAAAUUAGCGGAUGACUUGUGGCUGGGGGUGAAAGGCCAAUCAAACCGGGAGAUAGCUGGUUCUCCCCGAAAGCUAUUUAGGUAGCGCCUCGUGAAUUCAUCUCCGGGGGUAGAGCACUGUUUCGGCAAGGGGGUCAUCCCGACUUACCAACCCGAUGCAAACUGCGAAUACCGGAGAAUGUUAUCACGGGAGACACACGGCGGGUGCUAACGUCCGUCGUGAAGAGGGAAACAACCCAGACCGCCAGCUAAGGUCCCAAAGUCAUGGUUAAGUGGGAAACGAUGUGGGAAGGCCCAGACAGCCAGGAUGUUGGCUUAGAAGCAGCCAUCAUUUAAAGAAAGCGUAAUAGCUCACUGGUCGAGUCGGCCUGCGCGGAAGAUGUAACGGGGCUAAACCAUGCACCGAAGCUGCGGCAGCGACACUGUGUGUUGUUGGGUAGGGGAGCGUUCUGUAAGCCUGUGAAGGUGUGCUGUGAGGCAUGCUGGAGGUAUCAGAAGUGCGAAUGCUGACAUAAGUAACGAUAAAGCGGGUGAAAAGCCCGCUCGCCGGAAGACCAAGGGUUCCUGUCCAACGUUAAUCGGGGCAGGGUGAGUCGACCCCUAAGGCGAGGCCGAAAGGCGUAGUCGAUGGGAAACAGGUUAAUAUUCCUGUACUUGGUGUUACUGCGAAGGGGGGACGGAGAAGGCUAUGUUGGCCGGGCGACGGUUGUCCCGGUUUAAGCGUGUAGGCUGGUUUUCCAGGCAAAUCCGGAAAAUCAAGGCUGAGGCGUGAUGACGAGGCACUACGGUGCUGAAGCAACAAAUGCCCUGCUUCCAGGAAAAGCCUCUAAGCAUCAGGUAACAUCAAAUCGUACCCCAAACCGACACAGGUGGUCAGGUAGAGAAUACCAAGGCGCUUGAGAGAACUCGGGUGAAGGAACUAGGCAAAAUGGUGCCGUAACUUCGGGAGAAGGCACGCUGAUAUGUAGGUGAAGUCCCUCGCGGAUGGAGCUGAAAUCAGUCGAAGAUACCAGCUGGCUGCAACUGUUUAUUAAAAACACAGCACUGUGCAAACACGAAAGUGGACGUAUACGGUGUGACGCCUGCCCGGUGCCGGAAGGUUAAUUGAUGGGGUCAGCGCAAGCGAAGCUCUUGAUCGAAGCCCCGGUAAACGGCGGCCGUAACUAUAACGGUCCUAAGGUAGCGAAAUUCCUUGUCGGGUAAGUUCCGACCUGCACGAAUGGCGUAAUGAUGGCCAGGCUGUCUCCACCCGAGACUCAGUGAAAUUGAACUCGCUGUGAAGAUGCAGUGUACCCGCGGCAAGACGGAAAGACCCCGUGAACCUUUACUAUAGCUUGACACUGAACAUUGAGCCUUGAUGUGUAGGAUAGGUGGGAGGCUUUGAAGUGUGGACGCCAGUCUGCAUGGAGCCGACCUUGAAAUACCACCCUUUAAUGUUUGAUGUUCUAACGUGGACCCGUGAUCCGGGUUGCGGACAGUGUCUGGUGGGUAGUUUGACUGGGGCGGUCUCCUCCUAAAGAGUAACGGAGGAGCACGAAGGUUGGCUAAUCCUGGUCGGACAUCAGGAGGUUAGUGCAAUGGCAUAAGCCAGCUUGACUGCGAGCGUGACGGCGCGAGCAGGUGCGAAAGCAGGUCAUAGUGAUCCGGUGGUUCUGAAUGGAAGGGCCAUCGCUCAACGGAUAAAAGGUACUCCGGGGAUAACAGGCUGAUACCGCCCAAGAGUUCAUAUCGACGGCGGUGUUUGGCACCUCGAUGUCGGCUCAUCACAUCCUGGGGCUGAAGUAGGUCCCAAGGGUAUGGCUGUUCGCCAUUUAAAGUGGUACGCGAGCUGGGUUUAGAACGUCGUGAGACAGUUCGGUCCCUAUCUGCCGUGGGCGCUGGAGAACUGAGGGGGGCUGCUCCUAGUACGAGAGGACCGGAGUGGACGCAUCACUGGUGUUCGGGUUGUCAUGCCAAUGGCACUGCCCGGUAGCUAAAUGCGGAAGAGAUAAGUGCUGAAAGCAUCUAAGCACGAAACUUGCCCCGAGAUGAGUUCUCCCUGACCCUUUAAGGGUCCUGAAGGAACGUUGAAGACGACGACGUUGAUAGGCCGGGUGUGUAAGCGCAGCGAUGCGUUGAGCUAACCGGUACUAAUGAACCGUGAGGCUUAACCUU